rnacentral:tRNA from 4 species
CUUGUCUUAGUUUAAUAUAGAAUGGUAGUUUUGGGGAUUAUUGGUUUCUUGCUGGA